AGUUGAAGUUUGACAACACUUCAAUCGAAAAUGUUUUUAAUUUAGUUGAUAUCGAUAAUACAGAACGUGAAAACAUCAACCAGAAUGCAGUUGAGAUGAAAACCGUAACAGAUCCUUAUAUAAGCAGAAAUGGGAAAAUGUUGAAUGAUAUAAUUCACUCAUAUCAAUUGCGGAUUGCUUAAAUGGCUGGUACAGUUUUAAAUGCAUCUUGAAGAAUUAAUGAUGGUCACCGCAAGGAACUUCAAUUGAAACUGGAUCAACUCAAACAGCUAUUACAUUUUUUCACAAAUUUCUGUCAAGUCAAGUGGUAACCAUAUUUAAUGAUACAA